UACGGAGGGGGUUAGCGUUGUUCGGAAUUACUGGGCGUAAAGCGCACGUAGGCCGGCUGUUAAGUCAGAGGUGAAAUCCCGGGGCUCAACCCCGGAACUGCCUUUGAUACUGGCAGCCUAGAGUUCGAGAGAGGUGAGUGGAACUCCGAGUGUAGAGGUGAAAUUCGUAGAUAUUCGGAAGAACACCAGUGGCGAAGGCGGCUCACUGGCUCGAUACUGACGCUGAGGUGCGAAAGCGUGGGGAGCAAACAGG
rnacentral:misc_RNA from 1 species